rnacentral:rRNA from 1 species
UACAGAGGUCUCAAACGUUGUUCGGAUUCAUUGGGCGUAAAGGGUGCGUAGGUGGCGCGCUAAGUCAGGUGUGAAAUUUCGGAGCUUAACUCCGAAACUGCAUUUGAUACUGGCGUGCUUGAGGACUGGAGAGGAGACUGGAAUUCAUGGUGUAGCAGUGAAAUGCGUAGAUAUCUGGAGGAACACCGGUGGCGAAGGCGGCGUUCUGGACUGCAACUGAUACUGAUGAACGAAAGCCAGGGGAGCAAACGGG